rnacentral:rRNA from 1 species
GACGAACGCUGGCGGCGUGCUUAACACAUGCAAGUCGAACGGAAAGGCCCUGCUUGCAGGGUACUCGAGUGGCGAACGGGUGAGUAACACGUGGGUGAUCUGCCCUGCACUUCGGGAUAAGCCUGGUAAACUGGGUCUAAUACCGGAUAGGAGCCAUUUUUAGUGUGAUGGUUGGAAAGUUUUUUCGGUGUAGGAUGAGCUCGCGGCCUAUCAGCUUGUUGGUGGGGUAAUGGCCUACCAAGGCGGCGACGGGUAGCCGGCCUGAGAGGGUGGACGGCCACAUUGGGACUGAGAUACGGCCCAGACGCCGACGGGAGGCAGCAGUGGGGAAUAUUGCACAAUGGGCGCAAGCCUGAUGCAGCGACGCCGCGUGGGGGAUGACGGCCUUCGGGUUGGAAACUCCUUUCGCUAGGGACGAAGCUUUUUGUGACGGUACCUAGAUAAGAAGCACCGGCUAACUACGUG